CGGUUAAGUUAUUAAGGGCGCACGGUGGAUGCCUUGGCACUAGGAGCCGAUGAAGGACGGGACUAACACCGAUAUGCUUCGGGGAGCUGUAAGUAAGCUUUGAUCCGGAGAUUUCCGAAUGGGGAAACCCACUGCUC
rnacentral:rRNA from 1 species